CGCAUCAAAUGACCAAUUA
rnacentral:rRNA from 1 species